rnacentral:rRNA from 1 species
AUUGAACGCUGGCGGCAGGCCUAACACAUGCAAGUCGAACGGUAACAGGAAGAAGCUUGCUUCUUUGCUGACGAGUGGCGGACGGGUGAGUAAUGUCUGGGAAACUGCCUGAUGGAGGGGGAUAACUACUGGAAACGGUAGCUAAUACCGCAUAACGUCGCAAGACCAAAGAGGGGGACCUUCGGGCCUCUUGCCAUCGGAUGUGCCCAGAUGGGAUUAGCUAGUAGGUGGGGUAACGGCUCACCUAGGCGACGAUCACUAGCUGGUCUGAGAGGAUGACCAGCCACACUGGAACUGAGACACGGUCCAGACUCCUACGGGAGGCAGCAGUGGGGAAUAUUGCACAAUGGGCGCAAGCCUGAUGCAGCCAUGCCGCGUGUAUGAAGAAGGCCUUCGGGUUGUAAAGUACUUUCAGCGGGGAGGAAGGGAGUAAAGUUAAUACCUUUGCUCAUUGACGUUACCCGCAGAAGAAGCACCGGCUAACUCCGUG